rnacentral:rRNA from 1 species
GAUGAACGCUGGCGGCGUGCCUAAUACAUGCAAGUCGAGCGAACAGACGAGGAGCUUGCUCCUCUGACGUUAGCGGCGGACGGGUGAGUAACACGUGGAUAACCUACCUAUAAGACUGGGAUAACUUCGGGAAACCGGAGCUAAUACCGGAUAAUAUAUUGAACCGCAUGGUUCAAUAGUGAAAGACGGUUUUGCUGUCACUUAUAGAUGGAUCCGCGCCGCAUUAGCUAGUUGGUAAGGUAACGGCUUACCAAGGCAACGAUGCGUAGCCGACCUGAGAGGGUGAUCGGCCACACUGGAACUGAGACACGGUCCAGACUCCUACGGGAGGCAGCAGCAGGGAAUCUUCCGCAAUGGGCGAAAGCCUGGCGGAGCAACGCCGCGUGAGUGAUGAAGGUCUUCGGAUCGUAAAACUCUGUUAUUAGGGAAGAACAAAUGUGUAAGUAACUAUGCACGUCUUGACGGUACCUAAUCAGAAAGCCACGGCUAACUACGUG